AAGUCGUAACAAGGUUUCCGUAGGUGAACCUGCGGAAGGAUCAUUAGUGAAUAUUAGCGCAUCUCUUCGGAGAGCGUGACCUCCACUUUCUAACUCUGUGCAUUUAUUGGCGGAAACUGUUUUUGAGACUUUUGUCUCUCUUGCAGCUCUGCGGCUCAUUUUAAACACUAGUAAAAGUAUGUAACGAAAUAUCGAAACAAAAAAAAACUUUCAACAACGGAUCUCUUGGCUUGC
rnacentral:misc_RNA from 1 species